rnacentral:rRNA from 1 species
AUUGAACGCUGGCGGCAGGCCUAACACAUGCAAGUCGAGCGGAUGAAGGUAGCUUGCUACCUGAUUCAGCGGCGGACGGGUGAGUAAUGCCUAGGAAUCUGCCUGGUAGUGGGGGACAACGUUUCGAAAGGAACGCUAAUACCGCAUACGUCCUACGGGAGAAAGUGGGGGAUCUUCGGACCUCACGCUAUCAGAUGAGCCUAGGUACGAUUAGCUAGUUGGUGAGGUAAAGGCUCACCAAGGCGACGAUCGUUAACUGGUCUGAGAGGAUGAUCAGGCAACAUGGAACUGAGACACGGUCCAGACUCCUACGGGAGGCAGCAGUGGGGAAUGUUGGACAAUGGGCGAAAGCCUGAUCCAGCCAUGCCGCGUGUGUGAAGAAGGUCUUCGGAUUGUAAAGCACUUUAAGUUGGGAGGAAGGGCAGUAAGUUAAUACCUUGCUGUUUUGACGUUACCGACAGAAUAAGCACCGGCUAACUUCGUGCCAGCAGCCGCCGCAGUAA